rnacentral:rRNA from 1 species
UACGGAGGGGGCGAGCGUUAUUCGGAAUUAUUGGGCGUAAAGGGCGCGUAGGCGGCCUGAUAAGUCAAAGGUGAAAUCCCUCGGCUCAACUGAGGAAUUGCCUUUGAAACUGUCAGGCUUGAGGCCGGGAGGGGGUGGCGGAAUUCCCAGUGUAGCGGUGAAAUGCGUAGAUAUUGGGAGGAACACCAGUGGCGAAGGCGGCCACCUGGACCGGUUCUGACGCUGAUGCGCGAAAGCGUGGGGAGCAAACAGGAUUAGAUACCCUGGUAGUCCACGCUGUAAACGAUGGGUACUCGGUGUCGUGGGUAUCGACCCCUACGGUGCCUUAGCUAACGCGUUAAGUACCCCGCCUGGGGAGUACGGUCGCAAGGCUGAA